GGCGGCAGGCCUAACACAUGCAAGUCGAACGGUAACAGGAAGCAGCUUGCUGCUUUGCUGACGAGUGGCGGACGGGUGAGUAAUGUCUGGGAAACUGCCUGAUGGAGGGGGAUAACUACUGGAAACGGUGGCUAAUACCGCAUAACGUCGCAAGACCAAAGAGGGGGACCUUCGGGCCUCUUGCCAUCAGAUGUGCCCAGAUGGGAUUAGCUUGUUGGUGAGGUAACGGCUCACCAAGGCGACGAUCCCUAGCUGGUCUGAGAGGAUGACCAGCCACACUGGAACUGAGACACGGUCCAGACUCCUACGGGAGGCAGCAGUGGGGAAUAUUGCACAAUGGGCGCAAGCCUGAUGCAGCCAUGCCGCGUGUAUGAAGAAGGCCUUCGGGUUGUAAAGUACUUUCAGCGGGGAGGAAGGUGUUGUGGUUAAUAACCGCAGCAAUUGACGUUACCCGCAGAAGAAGCACCGGCUAACUCCGUGCCAGCAGCCGCGGUAAUACGGAGGGUGCAAGCGUUAAUCGGAAUUACUGGGCGUAAAGCGCACGCAGGCGGUCUGUCAAGUCGGAUGUGAAAUCCCCGGGCUCAACCUGGGAACUGCAUUCGAAACUGGCAGGCUUGAGUCUUGUAGAGGGGGGUAGAAUUCCAGGUGUAGCGGUGAAAUGCGUAGAGAUCUGGAGGAAUACCGGUGGCGAAGGCGGCCCCCUGGACAAAGACUGACGCUCAGGUGCGAAAGCGUGGGGAGCAAACAGGAUUAGAUACCCUGGUAGUCCACGCCGUAAACGAUGUCUACUUGGAGGUUGUGCCCUUGAGGCGUGGCUUCCGGAGCUAACGCGUUAAGUAGACCGCCUGGGGAGUACGGCCGCAAGGUUAAAACUCAAAUGAAUUGACGGGGGCCCGCACAAGCGGUGGAGCAUGUGGUUUAAUUCGAUGCAACGCGAAGAACCUUACCUGGUCUUGACAUCCACAGAAGAAUCCAGAGAUGGAUUUGUGCCUUCGGGAACUGUGAGACAGGUGCUGCAUGGCUGUCGUCAGCUCGUGUUGUGAAAUGUUGGGUUAAGUCCCGCAACGAGCGCAACCCUUAUCCUUUGUUGCCAGCGGUUAGGCCGGGAACUCAAAGGAGACUGCCAGUGAUAAACUGGAGGAAGGUGGGGAUGACGUCAAGUCAUCAUGGCCCUUACGACCAGGGCUACACACGUGCUACAAUGGCGCAUACAAAGAGAAGCGACCUCGCGAGAGCAAGCGGACCUCAUAAAGUGCGUCGUAGUCCGGAUUGGAGUCUGCAACUCGACUCCAUGAAGUCGGAAUCGCUAGUAAUCGUGGAUCAGAAUGCCACGGUGAAUACGUUCCCGGGCCUUGUACACACCGCCCGUCACACCAUGGGAGUGGGUUGCAAAAGAAGUAGGUAGCUUAACCUUCGGGAGGGCGCUUACCACUUUGUGAUUCAUGACUGGGGUGAAGUCGUAACAAGGUAACCGUAGGGGAACCUGCGGUUGGAUCACCUCCUUACCUUAAAGAAGC
rnacentral:rRNA from 1 species